UAGAGUUUGAUCCUGGCUCAGGAUGAACGUUGGCGGCGUGCCUAACACAUGCAAGUCGAACGAAAGUAGCAAUACUUUAGUGGCGCACGGGUGAGUAACACGUAGCUUAGCUCCCUCUCAGCGCGGGAUAACGACUCNAAAGAGUUGCUAAUACCGCAUAANCUCACGGUUUCUAAAAAAUUGUGAGAAAAGGCGUANNUCACUGAAAGACGGGNCUGCGGCCCAUCAGCUAGUUGNUGUGGUANAGGCCCACAAGGCNACAACGGGUANGGGACCUGNGAGGGUGACCCCCCACNCUGGNNACUGAAACACGCCCAAACUCCUACNGGAAGGCCNAUUGAGGAAUUUUGCACAAUGGGCGCGACCCUGAUGCAACGACCCCCGGUGGNUGAAGAACGUCUUCNGAAUGNUAAGGCCGUUUUCUGCGUGACGNGNAAGGGCGGUAGCGCCGGAAUAGAGCUCCGCUAGGUACAUNCCGACAGCGGGCGUGAGAAGCGGGG
rnacentral:rRNA from 1 species